AGGACGAACGCUGGCGGCGUGCCUAACACAUGCAAGUCGAACGCGCUUUCGGGCUUCGGUGCGAGAGCGAGUGGCGGACGGGUGAGUAACACAUGGGUACCUACCUUGGAGUGAGGGAUACCGGCGAGAAAUCGCCGACAAUACCGCAUAGGCUUCUUCACAAGGGAAGCAAAGUGACGCGAGUCACGCUUUGAGAUGGGCCUGGUGGCCGAUUAGCUAGUUGGGGGGGUAACGGCUUCCCAAGGCGACGAUCGGUAGCUGGUCUGAGAGGACGAUCAGCCACACUGGGAUUGAGAACGGCCCAGACUCCUACGGGGGGCAGCAGUGAGGAAUUUUCCGCAAUGGAGGCAACUCUGACGGAGCAACGCCGCGUGCAGGAGGAAGGUUUUCGGAUCGUAAACUGCUUUUCUCGGGGACGAGCAAGGACGGUACCCGAGGAAGAAGCCCCGGCUAACUACGCGCCAGCAGCCGC
rnacentral:rRNA from 1 species